ensembl:lncRNA
UAUCCAUCUAUCUAUCCAUCUGUCCAUCCAUCUUUCUGUCCGUCCAUCCGUCUGCCUAUCCAUCCAUCCAUCUCUCCAUCCAUCCGUCUGUCUGUCCAUCUGUCCAACCAUCCAUCCACCCAUACGUCUAUCCAUUUGUCUUUCCAUCUGCCCCUCUGUCCAUCCAUCUGUCCAACCAUCCAUCCACCCCUACGUCUGUCCAUUUGUCUGUUCAUCUGUCCCUCUGUCCAACCAUCCAUCCAUUCAUUCGUCUCUCCAUCCACAUAUCCAUCCAUUUGUGUCUCCAUCCCUCCAUCCAUUUGUGUCUCCAUCCGCCCGUCCAUUCACCUCUCCACCCAUCCGUCCGUCUGUCCAUCCAUCCAUCUAUCCAUCCAUCCAUCCGCACAGGUUGCCAGCACUGGGAAGGGCUCCACGGGCCUGCCAAGGCCAGAUGGUGUUUGUGAGGAGCUCCAGGUCCCAGCUGAGCGCUGCCCGGCGAGAUGCAUGCAGGAGCUGCCGGGCAGCCGGCUCUGCCAAACCCACGGCAUAUGCUGCGCCCGGCCCUACACCUGCUGGUGGGCAGCCGCUGCGCGCUGCCGGCGUAAAGGAAGGAGGAAAAGCACAGCCCCAUCUGGAAGGAAUUUAACGGAUAAACAACAGCGGUGAAACCCCCAACAUUAAAAAAAAAAAAGUAUAAAAUUGAAGAGUGUGCAGAGGGAGUCAGAAACGGCAGGGGGGGGUGCCACGGUGCGGGGCUGAGGUGGCCAGGGCAUGCCCACGUUUGCACCAUCACCCCAGUUUCCACCAUGACCCCCAUUUGCCCACGUGCAGCCCCACCAGCCCCAGCUAAAUGUGCUGAGAACUGCUGGGGGAUAUUUGGAGAAAACCCCAAAUGACCACGAGCAAAAUUGAUGGGGAAAUAGACUUCCUGCCUACUUUGUAUUUACUUUAAAACUGUGCACACUCAAGCCUGUAAUUUAUUGAAAGGAAGCAGACUGGAAACCAGAUUCACACUGCUGAAUCUCUACAGCAUGUCCAACCUGGCGUUGGGAAAUCCCUUUGGAGCCCAGUGUUGCCAGCUCUGCUGAGUGGGUAUCUCCCAGCAUCACCAUCGAUGUGCUGGGCUCCUUAACAAAGGGCCAACUCUAACCCAGCAGUUACAUCUGACCAGGCUUUGCUGUUGAGGUGGGGGAAGCUCAAAAAAACGUUCUGCCAUUACUCUUCUCUCUUCCUUCUCCUGAGCCCCUCUCCAGGUCCCAUCCACCCACUUGCCAGCAGCAUCUCCACAGGCCGUGCUGAGCAUCACUCCAUGGACCCGACCCCACUGCCAGCCACUGCUGCCAUUCAGACUGCUGAAGUCAAAUUAGGGUCAGAUUUUGGGUGGCUCUGCUUGGAGCCAGGAGUUGGGCUCAGUGCUUCUUAUGGAUCCCUUCCAACUCAGAAUAUUCCACGACUCGAUGAUGUUAUGAUUCAAGGGGAUCUCAGGAAGUUGCCCACACCAUGGCGUUACACAAAGGACUCAGGAAAGGGGCAGGAUCCACGAGGCCAUGCAGAAGACGGGAUCUUCCGUAGCUUUUCUUCCCGGGGAAGGGCUCUGAGGAGAGUUCUGCACCCUCUGCAGUGGGGAACAGCACAGUCACUUUCUUGGAGAGCUGCACAAGGUCAAUCUUUUUCCUUUUUUUUUUCCCCAUUGGUCAUCAUGGCAUUUCUGAGCUUCCCCUGUCAAACACUGUGGUGUUUGGGGAGGAAUGUAAGCGAAAAAAAGGGCAACUUUGGGUGUUUAAAGAACAGGUUUUCCAAUAGCUUGCAAUGUGCAGUUUGCUGCUUGCCAGGCCUUCUCAACUUCUUUAGGAUCUGCCCAUCUGCUGUGCAACAGUGGGUGCAAAAUCUUAUGUUUAUCCAGGACUGAGCAUAGCCCUUGUUGUUACAAUUAAGCUACGCGCUACUUUCCAUAACUCAUUAGCCCUUUAGCUUCUGGAUUAAUUCAAUGUGCAAAUAACGUCACAAAUUGAAUAUUACUGGACUUCUAUUGAGUAUUAAGCGGCAGUAAAAGCACAUUGCUGUGUCUUCAUUCUGCUUUGCACGACGGUGGUUUGUCCAGCGUGUCAAGCAGCUCGUUAGCCUCCCGACAGCUCAGUGCCUUCUUUCCAUGCUGGUUUUUUUGUGUGGUAACCCAGAUAUUAGAACAGAAAUGCAACGACUGCAUGGAAAAGUGGGGAUAGGCAAAAAGGAUACAGCUUUUGGGUGGGGUUGCUUAACCCAGCCUAGGCACCCCUAUUACUGCCGUGCAGAAAAGCAAGCUUUGCUAUGGGCGCAGCGUCCCACAUCAGCCAGAGAUCCCCAUAGGAUGCCAGCACUGCUCCAGGGCCUUGGCUGGAUUUGGGGCUGAAGGAGUUGCAAUGCCAACACACUCCCAAAGCUCCAAACUUCAAACGUGUUGGUGUUACCAACAUGGGCAGAAUGGCUCCAUGCCAUGGGAACCUCCACGGCACCACUGAGCAAAAUGGGUGCAGCUUUCUUUCAACGCGCUGAAGUGGAGGCAAAUUUCAAUCUAAUAAUGUAAAGCAGCAAUAACCAUUAUAAUUAAUUUAUAUAAAAGGCAUUAUAAAAUUACACUUGAUGCAUUUAAAUCCCAUCCAGGAGCAGUGCUCGUUUUCCAGUUAAGCUAUGGGCUGUGCUAAGGCAGACGGAGAAAGAGAGGUGGAUUGAACAGGCAAGGAGAAAGGGAGCUGGGACGUCGCGGGGUGAAAGCUGAGAAGUCCCGAGCAUCCCACGUUGAGCAUCUGCUUACAGCAAGCAAUAUCAUCCACUUCAGAUGGAAACUGCCCCCAGAGCCGUCCUCCCUCCCCAUGAGCAUCCGGAGCCGCUGCGCACAGAGGGCCUUCAAAGAUUCAGCGUUGACAGGGGUUGUUCUGAAUGUAACAGGAUCCCGUGGCAGAUGUAAACCAGACUGCAAGCAUUUGCCUUGCGUUUUGCAGAGGAGGUCAGCGCGGGGGUUUGCCUGUGAAAACGUGGAUGUGGGGCUGCCAGCAUCAGCAGGCAAAGCUGGGUGCUUCUCUUGGUGGUACUUUGCAAACCAAGCGUGGGCAGCGCAGCCCUCUUCUGCCAUCCUUUGGACCUCCCAUGGCCUCUGCAUCGCGCUGACACCUCGCUGAGGCUGACAGGAGCUGCGUUUUGGCCCAGGAGCUCCACACGAGGAGGCUGGGCCUGCAGAGUGGAGCACUCCGGGUCUCAUUUGCAGACAGAUUUUCAAUGAACUUCACAGAAGGCGUUUGAGGCCAGAGCGGCCCCAUCGGCUGCCAAGUGACCGGUGCUGGGUUUCCUUUCAGGCCUUGGCUAUGUUACCUUGGAGGAAUGUUCUCAUGGUGUGAGAUCUCUGUUGGAUGUGGACAUGGCAGCGCAUCUUCAGAUCCAUCUGCCCACCAAGAAGAGAUGUCCUCCCUCAAACUGGAGAUUGCCAUAGCCAAAAAGCCCUCAAGGAAUCUGCAGAUCUUCUCUCAUCCCAUCUUCCCCGUGGAUGGGGAAACAACUGUGUAAGAAGAGAAGGAACCUGUCCUCAAGACAUGGUCAGAUCUGUCACCACCCGGUUGCCAAAUCAUUGCGAGAGAGUGAUGGAUGGAGCUGGAAAACCUGGUCAGUUCAGAGAUGGACUGAUGAGAGAUGGAACGGGAUCACAUCUUGGUGAACACACAGGUAGGUGGGAAGCGGCUGCUCUGUGAUGAUGGCUGAGAGCUCAGCAGGGCUCAAUUAUAGAGGCUGGGCAUCUGUAUGGAUAGCUAUAUUCAAAGAGUCAGUAUUAAUAAAAAUAUUAUGAAUAUUAAUGUUAACAAUAAUCAAUAUUUUAAAGAAGAAAGAGCAAACAGAGGAAGAGGUCUGCGGAGUAUUUCUGGGUGUCUGUGCCAGGACUCAGCCAACCCACCAGCACUGGGGCACCUGGAAACAGGGCUGUGUUAUCCCCAGUUUGCAGUAGAGUGGUGUGUUUCUGUUCAUGCAUACACCUGUGGUGGCUUCCAGAAUAGGGUGAGAGCGGUGGGAUGGGCAGAGGAGGAGAGUUAGGCAGAGGAAGAAAAGACUGGUUUUGCAGAGGCAGUAUGAAAGCCAGUGGGGAGGAUGGGAACGACCUGAAAGGAAGAAGAAUGCGUCAUGUGUGUCCAUGUGUGCCAUGGCUGGAAGUGCAGGCACGUGGUGGCCCAGGAUACCGGCUCACCCUGUCUCCAUCACAGAGACACAGUUCUGGGGCUGGGGAUGCAGCACAGGGUGCUGCUCUCUGCCUCCCCAUCCUCCUCGCACGGUGGUGGACGGGCCAGGCUGCUCGGAGCUACAGCUGCCCGGCUUCAGCUUAGUGUUUAUUUUCCAGGCUGAAAGGACGCUUGUGAUCCCAAAGCCCUUCUGUGUUUAGCCAGACCUCUCAUUCACUUGCAGAGGAAACCCAUGUCAGCCGCUCCCCUUUGUCUCCCCUGAGCUAUUGCUUUGAAUCUGAAAGGAUUGGGUGCAGAUUUCAAGGGAUGUUCAGACAAAGGCUGUUUGAACAGCACUUGUGUAAAUAAUCCAUGAAAAACUCUUUGAAUAACCUCAAUGAAAUUUUCUCUGAAUUUGCUAUUCUUUUUCUCCGGCAGCAGAAAGAGGUGG